GCUAACUGUUAGCUCUUAGCAGGUAACUGUUAACCAUUAAUAGCUAACUGUUAGCUCUUAGCAGGUAACUGUUAACCAUUAAUAGCUAACUGUUAGCUCUUAGCAGGUAACUGUUAAGCAUUAAUAGCUAGCUGCUAGCUCUUAGCAGGUAACUGUUAACCAUUAAUAGCUAACUGUUAGCUCUUAGCAGGUAACUGUUAACCAUUAAUAGCUAACUGUUAGCUCUUAGCAGGUAACUGUUAACCAUUAAUAGCUAG